rnacentral:rRNA from 1 species
CCUACGGGAGGCAGCAGUGAGGAAUAUUGGUCAAUGGCCGGAAGGCUGAACCAGCCAUGCCGCGUGAAGGUCAGUGCCCUAUGGGCGUUAAACUUCUUUUGUGCGGGAGCAAUAAUGGUCACGUGUGGCCAGACGAGAGUACCGUACGAAUAAGCAUCGGCUAACUCCGUGCCAGCAGCCGCGGUAAUACGGGGGAUGCAAGCGUUAUCCGGAUUUAUUGGGUUUAAAGGGUGCGUAGGCUGUGAGGUAAGUCAGCGGUGAAAUGCCCCCGCUCAACGGGGUGAAGUGCCAUUGAUACUGCCUGGCUGGAAGGCGGAUGCCGUGGGAGGAAUGUGUGGUGUAGCGGUGAAAUGCAUAGAUAUCACACAGAACACCGAUUGCGAAGGCAUCUCACGAAUCCGCGAUUGACGCUGAUGCACGAAAGCGUGGGUAUCAAACCGGAUUAGAUACCCUUGUAGUC